rnacentral:rRNA from 1 species
GAUGAACGCUGGCGACGUGCCUAAUACAUGCAAGUCGAGCGAACAAAAAGAGAGCUUACUCCUCUGACUUUACCUGCUGACGGUCAGGGAACACGUGGAUAACCUACCUAUAAGACUCUGAUAACUUCAGGGAACCAGAGCUAGUACACGGUAAUUUAUUGCACCGCAUGGUUCAAUAGUGCAAGACGUUUUUGCUUACACUUAUACAUUGAUACGUGCCGCAUUAACUAGUUGGUAAGGUAACGGCUUACCAAGGCAACUAAGCGUAGCCGACCUGACGGGGUGGACGGCCAGACGGGAAGUGAGAGAGGGCCCAGACUCUGACGGGGGGAAGCAGUCGAGAAUCUUACGGAAUGGGCGAAAGCCGAAUGGAGCAAAGCCGCGUGAGUGAUGAAGGUCUUAGGAUCGUAAAACUCUGUUAUUAGGGAAGAAGAAAUGUGUAAGUAAAUAUGAACGUAAUGACGGUACCUAAGAAGAAAGCCACGGCUAACUACGUG